rnacentral:misc_RNA from 1 species
AAGUCGUAACAAGGUUUCCGUAGGUGAACCUGCGGAAGGAUCAUCAAUGAAUUUUCAAAUGAUGGCCUACAUCUUUGAAAUUGUCUAGCGAAUUUUAUUUGCUUGAUUGGAAUUGACGGAUUAUUGCCUAAUUCAGGCGAUAAUGAUAUUAAAGUCCAGGUUUUUAAAGUAAGGCGGUACUUUGACCAAAAAAAAUAUUUCAACUUUACCGACCGAAAAACAACUUUCGGCAACGGAUCUCUCGGCUCACC